rnacentral:rRNA from 1 species
AUUGAAUGCUGGCGGCAUGGCUAAAACAUGCAAGUCGAACGAACCCGCAAGGGUGAGUGGCGAAAGGGUUAGUAAUACGAUCGAAUGUACCCCGAGGUGGAGGAUAGCGGGAAGAAAUUUCCGGUAAUACUCCAUGAUGUCUUCGGACCAAAGUUUUGGUCGCCUUGGGAGCAGCGAUCGUCCUAUCAGGUAGUUGGCGGGGUAAAAGCCCACCAAGCCUUAGACGGGUAGCGGGUGUGAGAGCACGGCCCGCAACAUCGGAACGUAGAGACACUGUCCGGACUCCUACGGGAGGCUGCAGUAACGAAUCUUCCGCAAUGGGCGCAAGCCUGACGGAGACAAUGCCGCGU